AAGAUGUAUGAACGUCGGGGCGUUACAUCUCCCAUGACAGGGAAGAAAACGGUGUUGGAGCUUUCAUGUUACCACACAUCCAGUUAAGGCUAGCCACCUAUUGGUGGAUCUUAUUGCCCAAUUUU